CUGGAAGUGCCAAGCCUGAAGUGGUAACACACUUGGUAACUAUUGGGGAGGCAGGUAGCCUAGUGGUUAGAGUGGGGAGGCGGCAGGUAGCCUAGUGGUUAGAGUGGAGGGGCGGCAGGUAGCCUAGUGGUUAGAGUGGAGGGGCGGCAGGUAGCCUAGUGGUUAGAGUGGGGAGGCGGCAGGUAGCCUAGUGGUUAGAGUGGAGGGGCGGCAGGUAGCCUAGUGGUUAGAGUGGGGGGCGGCAGGUAGCCUAGUGGUUAGAGUGGGGGGGGGCAGCC
ensembl:lncRNA